rnacentral:rRNA from 1 species
GAGUUUGAUCCUGGCUCAGAGUGAACGCUGGCGGCAGGCCUAACACAUGCAAGUCGAGCGGCAGCGCGGGGGCAACCCUGGCGGCGAGCGGCGGACGGGUGAGGAAUGCAUCGGAAUCUACCUCGUUGUGGGGGAUAACCUCGGGAAACCGGGACUAAUACCGCAUACGACCUACGGGUGAAAGUGGGGGACCGCAAGGCCUCACGCGAUGAGAUGAGCCGAUGCCGGAUUAGCUAGUUGGCGGGGUAAAGGCCCACCAAGGCGACGAUCCGUAGCUGGUCUGAGAGGAUGAUCAGCCACACUGGAACUGAGACACGGUCCAGACUCCUACGGGAGGCAGCAGUGGGGAAUAUUGGACAAUGGGCGCAAGCCUGAUCCAGCCAUGCCGCGUGUGUGAAGAA